GACAAAACUAUUGCACAGUUGUAAACUAUCAUGUCUAUUACAGAAGGAUCAUUUCUAGUAUCUUUACACGAAAAGGAACAAAACAAUAUAGAUAUCCUUAAUGACAAAAUUACUUCACAACUAUCAAACUAAAAUCUAAAUCAAUAGGUGGCUUGUGAAGUCCAUUGAGUUGCUACUGAGUGGCUGAAUUUUUCUGCGUUCUUGGUGGUGAAAAUGUAAUUGAGCCUCCAACGACCAUUUUAUUUUUUAUCAUGGCUACCCUCUUCCUUGCCUUUUCUUGGUUUUCUAUAUCCUGCAAAUCCUCCACCAGGAUUCAGGUGGAAUACUUGUAAUUUGCAUCUUAGGAGGAGCUUUCUCCAUUGUUGAAUUACUUGGUUGAUUAAGUGGAGGACCGUAGUUCUUAAAGUGGGAAGCAUUUGUUAUACCAAUGUCAGGUGUUGGCAUGAACUAGAAAUUAGAUGUUGGUGUUGAUAGUUGCACUUCACUUGCUGUAUUACUUGGUGGCCUCCUAGGCACUAGUUUGACCUAAAAAGAAAGUUAGAUAUCAUUUAACAAAGCACAAUGUUUGAAGAGAAAAAAUAUUUGCUAAGUUUUGAAUACCCAUGAGUUAUCACUCACAACAUUGUUUGAAUUAUCAUCAUUUACAGGAUUUAUAACACUUUCAAACCAAGCUUGAAAUGAGCAUAGACAGUGAUUUCCAUUUACGACAUUAGUUGAACAAGAAAAGGAAAUAAAAAAAAUGUUUAAACUCCAAACAAACCUCAUGUACUGAGUCAUCCUUCUGAUGAUACCUCAUUUUGUGGCCCGUUCCUUCACAAACACUACAAGUAAUUACUCUUAUACCUCUUUUCUUCAGUUUACCUUGGAUCUGACAUAGGUGAUGUCAUCUUCCUCUGCUUGUUUCAUUCUCUUCUUUUGUUUUCUUUCUCAUUUAGACACAACCCAAGUUGGUGGUUUAACUAGAAGGGCAUCAACCAAAGGCC
rnacentral:lncRNA from 1 species